CAAUUUCAGUGAUGACCAGGGUGCGGCUGGUCUCUCUCUACCCCGCUCCCUCCACGUGCUACAGAGCGAUCCCCACAGGUCACCUCACUUCCCUGUAGACGCUGCUGGACGGAGCCUUUGAAGACCGUUAUCGCCCAAACUCUCGGUAACCUUGACGUUGGACACACAGUCAGCGUCCAGAACUCCCGUGGUCUCGGCCCUCACGAGGUUUGGAAGUGUCUGGCCGCCACCCUCCCCUGGGGGGUGACGACGUCGCUCCCUCCUCCCGCCAUCCCCCUCCCUGACAACGUGAGGGCGCGUCUCCAGUCCCCUCUCACAGGACCUCAGACAGGGACGCAGGCCGGCACCCUGACGCGGCCUCCCCCGCUGCCUUUGUGCUUCAUUGAGAGAAUUCACCCACCGUGAAACCCACUCUUCCGAGUGCACAGCUCGAUGGUCCUCAGCACAUUCGCGGAGCUGCACCCAUCACCCCUGUCAGAUUUUAGCGCGUUUUCAUCACCCAGAAGGGACGCCCUGCUCCGCCGGCUGCCCUUCGCCCUGCAGGCUCUCCCGGGCCACACACUCCACAGCGCUGCGGCCCGCGGUACACGGUGGCGGGGGGGCCUUUCCUGCCGAGCCACGUCUGGGUUCACCCGCGUCGCUGCACCUGUCAGCGCCUCAUUUCUUUGCUGAUACUUUUCCAUGGGGUUUGUGGAUCUUGCUUUGUUUAUCUGUCUACGGGUGGACACUGGGUUGUUCCUACUUUUCAGCGAUUACAAAUAAGGCCAUGUACAGGUUUUUGUAUGGACGUGUUUUCAUCUCUCUCGGGAUGACGCCCAGGGGUGGACUGCCGGGUCGAGUGUAACUCUGGGUUUAGUAUCCGAGGAACCGGCAGUUCUGUGCGGCACCACGCCGUCCGACAGCCCACCGCAGGGACCCGCGGCCCUCCAGCCCUCCCUCGCCGGCGCCGCGCACGGCCGUCCCUGGCUUCGGCCAUCGGAGUGGCGGACAGCCACGUGCGCCCCGCUC